rnacentral:lncRNA from 1 species
AUCUAACGCUCCAGGACGUGGCCAUAGCACCACGUGACAAGAAACGCUGGCCAAGACGAAGAGAAUCUCAAGUACGAAGCCAGUAUGGACAAGGUUACCUGCUAACAUGGUAAAGCUGUGGAGAAAUCAAGACAGAAGAGAGGGGAGAAGAACCUACACUAACGUGGGAAGGACAGGAGUGGUGGCUCAGUGGUUAAGAAGAGAGCCCAAGUUCAGUUUCCAGCACCCACGUUGUGACUCAUGAAGUAAUUCCAGUUCCAGGGAAUAUGAUGCCUCUUCUGACCUCUGUGGACACCAGAUGUACACAUGGUUACAUAUACAUAUGUUCAGGUAAAGCAAUUAUACGCAUAGAAUAAAAUAAAUAUUUUAAAUUC